GGGGUUGUGGUUCAUUUGCUUGGUAGAGCAACUGCUUGACAUGCAGAAGGCCCCAGGUUCAAUCCCUGGCAGCUCCA
rnacentral:tRNA from 1 species